GACGCUUUUAAAAGGCAGGCAGCCAAAUUUCCUUCGCGUGGAGCAGGUAAACGAAGGCAUCCCGAGGGCAGCAGGAGAAGGAAAGAGAAAAGAUUGAAUCGUGGGAGGAAUGCUGACUGAGAGUAUUCAAAACAGCACCAUUGCCACCUGUCAUUUCCUGGUACUCAGCUGGAGAACAAAUGAAGAGAUCCAAAUUUUAAAACUGAAAGAAAUGCAUUUGCUCCAUUGAAGAGAAUUAUUACUGCUGUGGUUAUCAACUCUGCAAACUGCUGACGCACUUUUGUACUGGAUAGCCUUCUGUUUUAAAUCAACUAACACCAGCAUCAUCAGUUUUUAAGUAUGGGCAAUGAGGUUUCUUUGCCUGAGACUAAUGAAGGUUAAAUAAAAGUGUCUUGGGAGAACACUAAACCAUAACAUCAUUUGCCUGUUUUUAAUUUAUUGUAUGGUGGUUAUUAUAUUAUUUAUAUAUUAUUUGUGGCAUAAGAAUUAAGCAUGAACCAGCUGUUAUGUUUGCCACAGUUUGAUUUGAUGUAAAUUUAGAUGCACAUUAGACAUCUGCAAUACUAAAUUCCAGAUUCAGAGAAGAAAUGGAGAGAAGCAAAUAUGCUGUUUGGGGAAAUAUCUCUACAGUAAGGAUUAGAAAUUAGACUGGCAUAUUUUCAUCAUUUGAUAUGAUCUGAUAAUCAUUUCUGUCCAAUGAGACGUGGCCUAAUGUGUAACUGAACAAUAAGGAGUAAAAACACAAAUGAAGAUUAAGUGUUUUUCUGCUUAGACUAGUCUAUCAGGGCAACCUGGUGUACCUAAAUAUGGGAUGGAGCAUAAUGCUUUUGCACAAUCCCAAUCCAGGAGCCUUCGCAGGCGCUUUCGUAACAAACCUUUAUUUCUUUGUCAGUAAAUAUAAAUUCAGCACAAAUGUAGAUUGUUAAAAAAGAUAAAAGAAAUUAGUAUACAAAUAAAUGUGUUAUAAGUUGCUGAAAGACUAUUUGCAUUAAAAAUAUGCUUAUGCAUUGGCAGUUUUAGAAAAAAAAUUUGGAGAAAUUUUCCUUCGUUUCUGUAAAUUAGAUAUAGUAUAUGCUCUUUGAAUGUUUGAAUCAUCGUCCAAUGAAAGUGACUGUCUUAAAUGAAACCUGAUUGUGAUGUGAAUCUAUCCAGCAAAAUUGAACUGAAAAGUCUGCUUGGGGGGAAAAAAAGCUCCUCAGAAUCCUGAAUUGUUAAUGACAGC